CCCAAAGGGUCAGGAGAACCCAGGCAGUCCUCUGGGUGACUAAUGCAGCAGGCAGGCCUGAUCACCGCCGCCACUUCCUGGGUUUUCUUUGUCAAAAAUAAAACAAAAUGGAAGCAUGAAAAUCUGGAGUCGGGUCCUGGGCAGCCAUGGGGAAGAAGGAAACCCAGUUGCACACUCUCCCAUCUUUUUAUGAGCUCAGGACAAAAUAGUCCAGGGGGUGUCCCCGUGAAGGUCUCCUUGUGUUUGCCAUUAACCACUCAAAGGACCACCAUCCUGGUUGGAGUCACCCAGAAAGCCAUGGAAUCCAUUUGCCAGAUGGAGAUCCUUCCCAAAUACCAACCCAUGCUGAUCUAUGCUUUUCUUUAAAAGCCACACAGUUCACCAGCUGUUCCAUACUAUCCCGGACUUGGAUCUGUACUGUUUCAUAAAUGGUCCCUAAUUCUUCCAUGUGGGUGGGUGUUUUCUCUCUAAAUAGAUGAUGAGCCCUUCCAUAGACCAAAUGGCAUCUGAGAUCUCUUCCAAUUCUAGAGAAAUGAUCGGAUGAUCUUAUCAUCCUAAUGUUGGCUCAGAAAGAGGGCCAUAUUUGAGGCAGGAACUCACAAUGGAUAGAGGAGACAGUUAAAGCAGCCUUAGGAAAAUGGUAUUCUGGAGUUGACCUUAUCCUUAUACAGUUGACUUAUAAGUGAAGAAUGAAUGAAUUGGAUUGAAUCAAUUGAAUGAAUAAAUGAAUGAAUGAAAAAAGCA
rnacentral:lncRNA from 1 species